rnacentral:rRNA from 1 species
CUACGGGGGCGCACCAGUGGGGAAUAUUGCACAAUGGAGGAAACUCUGAUGCAGCAACGCCGCGUGGAGGAUGACACUUUUCGGAGCGUAAACUCCUUUUAUAUAGGAAGAAGAUGACGGUACUAUAUGAAUAAGCGCCGGCUAACUCCGUGCCAGCAGCCGCGGUAAUACGGAGGGCGCAAGCGUUACUCGGAAUCACUGGGCGUAAAGAGCGUGUAGGCGGAUUAAAAAGUCAGAAGUGAAAUCCUAUAUCUUAACUAUAGAACUGCUUCUGAAACUCUUAAUCUAGAAUAUGGGAGAGGUAGAUGGAAUUUCUGGUGUAGGGGUAAAAUCCGUAGAGAUCAGAAGGAAUACCGAUUGCGAAGGCGAUCUACUAGAACAUUAUUGACGCUGAGACGCGAAAGCGUGGGGAGCAAACAGGAUUAGAUACCCUCGUAGUC